GCUUUUGCCCAGCGGGUCUGAGAUCCCAGAACUGAUUAGUAACCGUCGCUGAAUCGAAUUCGUGACUCGACCAGCUAAAAAGGCUCUUCGGGCCACUGUUCAGGCAUCAUUCUUGCCAUCAGGGACCUGAGAAUCCUCCAUGAAUUCCGUUGUGUCGGCUGUAGGUUCUUACUAGUUUGCACUGAUGAGAUUAGAUAAGGAUUUUGGCACAUUAUGUGCAUGGAUUCCAUGUUGAGUGUAUCGAAAUAUGGCUACGUUUCCACCUGUCGUGAAGAAGAAGAAGAUGAUGAGGUGAGGAGGAGGUGCGGCGACAGAGAAAAAUGAAAAAGACGACGAAGAAGAGAACGAGAAGUAGCUAGAUGAGACGAAAAUUGAACGAAUUUGGAUUAAAAUUUAAAUAUAUGAUUUAUAUUUGAUUUUUUGUGAUCAAACUUGGAGAGUUUUCUAUUGGCACCUGAAAACAAAAUCACUCUGGACUCCUAUAACUUGUAAUUUUUCUCCUCACUGCAUUUUGUUUCCUUAAAUAGAUCAAACGAGCGCUGUAGCUGAGCCUGCCUGUGCACUAAUCUAAUCUUUUUCAAGCAGAUAAGUUGCGCGCGUUUUCCACAGGAUGUCCCAAAACGCUUUUGCCUUUCAUUCAUGGCAGAGCUCCAUCAGAUUACUUCCAGAGGUACACAUCUUCUAUACUUACCAAAGAAAAUGAUAGAUUAUAAUCAAUUUAUUGAAAAUCAAUUACAAUUUUAUUAUAAAUUUGAUACUUGUUUUAACGAGGGGAACGGUGCUAUUUCUGUUCUUUGCGAAUAUACUGGAUCUCAAAAUCUCUAUGCAGAGUAAAUUUCAGAUUAUGGGCUGCACUGCAUUGAAUGUAGAAAUGGAUAGUCAAUUAUCAUCAAGAAUUUGGGAUAAAAAUGAUAAAUUAUUAGCUCAUUCAUCAAUAUGUCCAGAAAUGGCUUGAAUUGCUAUAUUUUUUAAUUGGUGGUUAACAAUGUUUCCGAGAUUAAUAAGAAAGAAGAAAUUCCAAGCGGUGGAUAUGACUUUAAGCUGAAACAUUUUCUUAUAAAUAAUGAGCUAAGAUUACUUCAUUUGAAUCUGAGAACUGGAUUACGAAAUAAGCAUAUGAGCAGUUAGCCGGAAUUUUUUGGGGCUGACAAUCUGUGAACUCUAAUGAUAUUGAAGACAGCAAAAGUACAUAUGUUGGAUCCAUUUACACUACAUGGUUCUUAGUUCAAACUACUUGUGUUGGUCCAACUUAUUUCAUUGAGAUUGAACUGAUUGUUUCCUGGCCGCUUGGCUUGGACAAGCAUGCAGCAGAUUGUCAUGUGGAUCUUCCUCCUGCUCUGAUGUAAAUUCAGAAUUAGAUGCCUCAUCUUCUGAUAUUGUUAAUUUACUGUUACCUUCCAGUGGACCAUCUCAGUUCCAGCUGAAACCGUUCAAGUCAAGUUGUUUGCAACUUGAAGCGGCAUCAAUUUCUUCAUGGGAAUUGAGAUCUAGUUUUGUCGCAAAGUAAGGCAAUCCAUAUCCUGGUGAAAUGUUACCAUUGUGUAGUUUAACUGAAUCUGUCCUCUUGUUAGUCUGGUCGGCGAAAUUGUUAUCAUUACUCCUUCCCUUAAAUCUUCCCUCAGUAAAGCUACUACUUGUGUUCCCGUUUUCUUCUUGGAGUCCAACUCUCAUCAAUAAAUUGCUGGACUUUUCUGCAUUGUUUCCCACUGGGGAAAGAAACAUUUUAUUAUCUUUUAAGUGUACAUCCCACUUGAGUUCAGUAGGACGUAGCAAGCGAUCUUGCACCAUUUCUUUUGCCUCCAAGAGAGUGUUACCGUUAUAGGGUCUCAACCCCAUUCCAGCAUUGUGUAUUUCUUGUUCCUUUUGAGAUCCUUCACAGGAGGUCAGGCAGCUGUCCAUUGAACAAUCUGUGGGUGGAGUUGUUUGUAUCUGCUGGGGGCAGAGACUCUGCAGUUCUUUCAGCUCUGAAAAUGCUGAAUUCAGGCAUUGAGUAGAUACUUUGGACACUAGUUCAGAGAGUUGAACUUUGGCUGCUUCAAGUCCCAUAGUACCUAAAUUCUGCUUUCCAAGGGUCUCCUGUGCUUUCUCUAGCACUGCUUGUAGGUAUUUUCCUUGAGCCUCUAUGCGAAGCUGUAAAUGUCGUUGUACCUGGUUCAGACCGGAACAACUAUCAGAAUUUGGCCAAGUCUUUUGCAUAGCGAUACAUCAAUUACAUUGAUUAACUAGUGAGCAAACACAGAGCAAAAAGAAAAAGUGAUGGAAAAAGUUGUGUACAGAAAUACCAAGCUUUUUGAGUUGUUAUAAGGAAAUGAAACUCGUGUUAACCUAUUCCUGCUCAUAUUGAAUGCUUGACUAAGCUAGGUAUUUCUGAAUUUAAUGGUUCUCUAAGGUCUAUUUCUGAAAUGAAACUCGUGUUAACCUAUUCCCUUCAUUUUAAAUGAAAAAGCAUAUGAGUAGGAUAUGGCAUACUUCACUUCAGCUAUGUUUCUGAAAAUUAUGUUGCUGUGGCUUUAACAUUUGGGAAAAGUAGGAAAUUAUUCAUAAUUAACGACUUUCCUUAUUUCACUAUUAUAAUUAAGAAAAAUUUACUAUUUAGUCCCUGCAGUAUAAGGAAGUUCGUUAGAUAGUCCAUCGGUUUUGAAAAAUAUAUUAAAAUAUUCUUUAAAGUUUAAAAAAUCUAUCAAUUAGUCCUUUUGUUAGUUUUACCCGGUAAGUAUUUUACUAUUUAGUAUGAAAAAACUCAUUAGUUAAUUUUUCAGUUUUAUAAGAAUGUCUACUAAUUAGUUCUUCUAUAUUGAGUCUUUUAAACUUUAUUGUAAUACUUAACAUCUAAAAUUAACAUAGAAACUAAUUAAUAGACCUUUUAAAACCUCAAUGACUUUUUCAUAUAUUUUCAAAACCGAGUGAUUAAUUAAUGAAUUUCACUGUAGCAUGAGGACCAAAUAAUAUAAUUCCCCUUAUGGUUAAUGAAGGUUUUUACUUGCACUACUACCAUGUUGAAAUGAACUGCCUCUUAUUUUAUUUUCAGCAGUUUAAGCAGUAAGCACUGAGCACUGUACCUCAAGCUGCUCAUGUAACCUUCUCUGCACUUCAAUUUGCAUUUGCAGUGCUUCACCGAUGUGUAAACUUCUGUAUUUAAAUAAGCAUAAUUGUAAAACAUGUUUUGAAAAUAAAUGAAUUAACAAAAAUCAGAUCAAAUAUUAUAAUAUUCAUACUUGUUUGUUUGGGAUCCAAUACUUAAAUUGUUUAUAUGAAUAACAUUUGCUUCAGACAUUCUAUCACUUUCCACAGUAGUAGCACCUGUACCAAAUGAGUUAUUUUUCAUGUUAACCAGUAAAUUGUUGAAAUCAUUUUAAGAUAACUUUUAUGACAUUUUGCUAUUACUUACCAAUUUUGCUGCUCCCACUAAUAGCUUGUCCAUGCAGGUUCUUGCUGAGCCUGUAUUUCUGUGGACCCAGUGAAGGAGUUAGCAUUUCAUACAUGUGAACAUAAAACUAGCAAAUCAAAGCCUUACUACCCUAGCAUUAUUUAAUAAUAUUAUUAAAAAGAAAGGGUAUUAUGGUUACUAGCAUCUUUGGCUUUUUGAUUCUCAGGCUUCUCAAGUCUCCUACUCAUUAGUAAUGACACUUCAAGGUGCAUGAUUUAUCUCACUCUUGUUUACAAUUAUUUUUGUUUCUCAGUAGCAGAAAACAACACACCACAUGUAUUAUGAAAAGAAACAUGGAAAUCACCAGGCUGUGUUGCUUUAUAAGAGAGAGGUCAAAGUUGCUUUAUAUUUUUAUAUGAUUGGCUAGAUGACCAAAUAUGGUAGUACACUAGUACUUGAAUCUAGACAAAAUCUUUUGAAAGUUCUACCAGUUGGUGUUGAUAAUAUUUCCAAGCAGAUUGUAGAUGGUAAUCAUAAUUUACCUGUAGAUGACUCUUAAGAUGAUAUAAAGUAAGUCCUGGAAUCCCCAUAAUUUUCAUAACUGUUUUUGGAGUAGCUUCUGCAAAGAAAAGUAACGAUAGUUGAGUAUGCAGAACUUAAUUUACAAUUAUUUACUUUGCUUUAUGAUUUUGUAGUCUUUUUAAUAUACUCACUGUCUGCUCCUCCAAGCUGAUUGACUGCUUCUAUGAACCGCUCAUGGAGAUCUGGUGUCCAUUUUAGUCGAGGCUUUGCAUCAGUUGAGAGGACUAGUCCAGAAUCUCCAGGGCCAUUCCCACCUUGCAGGAACAAAUAUCUUUCGGGUGGGAUUGACAUUCUUGAAGAGGAGUUUACGCUCUUUCCUCGGUGUUGAU
rnacentral:lncRNA from 1 species